rnacentral:rRNA from 1 species
GGAAUUUUGCGCAAUGAGCGAAAGCCUGACCCAGCAACGCCGCGUGAAGGAUGAAAUCCCUCGGGAUGUAAACUUCGCAAGAACGGGAAGAAUAAGUCGGUGUUAACACCACCGGCGAUGACGGUACUGUGUGUAAGCUCCGGCUAACUCCGUGCCAGCAGCCGCGGUAAGACGGGGGGAGCAAGCGUUGUUCGGAUUUACUGGGCGGCAAGGGCGCGUCGGCGGCCACCGCAAGUCGACUGUGAAAUCUCCGGGCUUAACUCGGAAAGGUCAGCCGAUACUGCGGGGCUAGAGUGCAGAAGGGGCAACUGGAAUUCUCGGUGUAGCGGUGAAAUGCGUAGAUAUCGAGAGGAACACCUGUGGCGAAGGCGGGUUGCUGGGCUGACACUGACGCUGAGGCGCGAAAGCUAGGGGAGCGA